UACGUAGGGUCCGAGCGUUGUCCGGAAUUAUUGGGCGUAAAGGGCUCGUAGGCGGUUUGUCGCGUCGGGAGUGAAAACUCAGGGCUCAACCCUGAGCGUGCUUCUGAUACGGGCAGACUAGAGGUAUUCAGGGGAGAACGGAAUCCUGGUGUAGCGGUGGAAUGCGCAGAUAUCAGGAGGAACACCGGUGGCGAAGGCGGUUCUCUGGGAAUUACCUGACGCUGAGGAGCGAAAGCAUGGGGAGCGAACAGG
rnacentral:rRNA from 1 species